rnacentral:rRNA from 1 species
UACGUAGGGAGCAAGCGUUGUUCGGAUUUACUGGGCGUAAAGGGCGCGUAGGCGGCGCGGUAAGUCACUUGUGAAAUCUCUGAGCUUAACUCAGAACGGCCAAGUGAUACUGCAGUGCUAGAGUGCGGAAGGGGCAAUCGGAAUUCUUGGUGUAGCGGUGAAAUGCGUAGAUAUCAAGAGGAACACCUGAGGUGAAGACGGGUUGCUGGGCUGACACUGACGCUGAGUGCGCGAAAGCCAGGGGAGCAAACGGG